rnacentral:rRNA from 1 species
ACUUGAAUUGAAUGUGCAAAUGCUUUCAAUUCAAAGAAAGACAAUAAGACCCCGUGAAGUUAGAAAUUCCACUUACAGAGUUAACCCCCAUUGACGGUGUCGCCGUUAAAUAGCAUAUCGGGCUUUGGAUCUUUUUUUGAAGGUCCCGGCUUUAUGGCUUUUGAACGCCGGAAUGUAUUUUUGACGAGUUUUGGCCUGGCCCGCAAAGAGGCAAAACUAGACCUUUUUAAUCACUAAACGGAUACUUUACGACCCACAAAACAUGAAAAUCCUGAUUAACAGAAGGAGUUACCUGCGGGGAUAACAGCGUAAUCUUCCUUGAUAGUUCUUAUAGAUGGGCGGGUUUGCGACCUCGAUGUUGGCUCUGGGUAUCCUGAGGCAUGCAGGCGGUCUCAAGGGUUGGUUCGUUCGCCCAUUAAAACCCGACGUGAUCU